CUGCGAGUGCCUGUUAGUUGUUGCCCUCCUGCUGUCUGUACUUGUACCAAAAUGUAAAUGUUAUUGGAACCAUAUAAGUUUUUUUGAAGUUGAAUGAUCUAGAAAUCAGAAUAAGAUUUUAUCUUUCCAUUGGUAAACAACUUUUCGUGUGAAAUCAGGAAUCAUACCACAACUUUCUGUCUAGAGAUAGGCACUUAUACUUGUUCUCUGAAUUCUGCAGUAUAGAAUAGAGUACAGUAAAGCACAAAUAUGGCUCUGCUUGAAUUUAGUCUAACUGAACCUAGCAAGGUGCCCUUGUAUCUAAUUAUUGAUUGAUAGUAAAAAGAGUAGUUUUAGAUACACGUUUACUGAGGUAGGUAGCAAAAGAAUCAGCUUAAUGUGAGAAAUACAUGUGUCUAGCUGCAGUUUAAGUUUUCAAUUUCAGUGAUUUACGCGCGGCUAGUUUUCUUCUUCCAAUCUCUUCAUGUAUGUACGGACACACUUUGCCAGUGCGUGGACGCGUUUGUUGCAUUCUCAAGGAUGUGGAAUAUUAUUUCUUGUACUUUAUCCGUAGCAGUGUGGUACUCCAUACUAUUUUUAAUUUCCUUUUUAGCAAGAAAUAAUUUUUUAUGGUGCCUUCUGUCUGAAAAAACACCUUACGAACAGGAUUGGUUCAUAUGUAUCAAUCAGUUUUUUUAUUUUCUUAAAUUGCAAAGGCCUCACCUCUUGUGUGUUCACCCUGGUUAUUAAUUUUGGUAUAGGUUAGUUGAGCUGAAGCUGGCUUGUUGAAUUUUCUCAUGUAACUUUUGGUCACCACAUCAAGUAACCGCGAAACAUAUUUCAGUUGCCAGCAAAUUUUUAGUGACAUAAGCAAUUAAUGUGAUUAGAUAGUGUAUUUUCUUUGCGGCUAAUUCUAAAUGUGGGACCGUUUUUCUUUUGUGAGAAUAGUAGUGCCAGGCUAAACUAUCUGUAUGUACACAGUAGAGAGGUCGUUGAUAUGCUUACAUCCUCUUCUGCUAUUAAGUUGCAAAAGCAAGCACGAAGGGCCACUUCGAGUCGCUUGGUGACAUAAUGAUUUUAGGAGCAUAACCGGCAAGCCUACCUUCAGUUUUAGCUCGUGGUUUGGAAUUCCUGGGAAGGUCAAUUUGUUAAGGAACUCUGUUGAACACAUAUUCUCCAUUGUGUUGUAAUUUGUUGUUGCCUUGCAUACAGUGUCCAAGCUUAGGUAUGUCACCUCUUCACCUUGUAUUUGGCUCAUUACGUAGUCAUUUAUCUUAUCAAUUGUUUCAUUCCUUGGACAUAGUAUUGCUCUUUCUUCAAGAAAUUCAUGGUCACGAUAGUUUUGGUGCAAGUUUGGGUACGUGCUUUUCACUAUCGCUUCUUUCGGGUCUUCUCCUUUUUGCAGAAUUAUGUCUUUAGGUAUUUUUACCCAAUCAUCUCCUUCAUCGUUUGUUUGUUUUCCGUCGCCAAUUUGUAAUAUCCAUUAUGCAAAUUCAGCCACAUUUUGCUUUUGUAUUGGAUCUUCUGACAGGCACUUCAGCCGCAUGUUUUCAGUUGGUCUAAAUAUUUCGAAGUGCUUCCAUAGGUAUGACCUUUUGACUGAGGCAUUUACUAUCUGCUCUCUCUUUCCCUUUGUAACCGCUGGAAGUAUUUGUCUGAAGUCGCCUCCUAGCACAACUGUCAUGCCACCAAAUGGCCUUUCGUCACUGUUUUGGUUUUGGAACCUUAGAAUAUCCCUAAGGCUUUUGUCUAGUGCCUCGAAGCAGUGUUUGUGUGCCAUAGGAGCCUCGUCCCACAGUAUCAGUGAGGUCCUCUUUACCAGUUCAGCCAAAUGUGAGCCUUGUUUUAUUUCACAUGUUGAUUCUUCUGUGAUAUUUAUUGAAAUGUGGAAUCUUGAGUGCGCUGUUCUUCCACCUUGGAGGAGCAAUGCUGCAAUGCCAGAUGAUGCUACCGCAAGCACUAUUUUCCCCUCCGAUCGUAGCUUUGUUGUGAUUGCUUUCCAUAGAUAAGUUUUGCCUGUGCCACCGUAGCCCUCUACAAAUAUCUGUUUUCCAAGUCCUCUGUAAGCUGAUUCCAUUAUGGCAUCAAAGGCAAUUUUCUGGCCAUAGUUAAGAUUGCUAACUAUGGUUUGGUGCUCAAUCUUUAGUGCUUGUGUGUCGUAGCUAAGUUCUUCAUUUAUCAUUCUGUUCCCAAGUUGUUCAAGUUCAGUAGCAUUUGGUAGUUCUAUGCCUGGAUAGUCCUUUAGUGUCUUUCCAGCUUGCCUCAUUAGUUUCUCUAUCUCGAUCAGAGCAUAUGAUUUUUUUCUGUGAAUCAGUUAGCUGCAGCGUAGGAAAGUUUAGGAUUAUUCUUCUUUUGUACUGGAUAUCUUCAGAUAGUGCCUCCCAUGUUGAAUCCCACAACAUUUUUGGGCUAGUCACCUCACAAUGGCAUAAUAUUGUGGUGAAUAGCUGCCGUAAUCGUAUCCCUGAUCCCCAACUUGAUGCUUCAUUGAUGCAUUCAAUCCACUCACUAUCGUCAUCAAGAAAUCCAAGCGCUUGGCAUGCUGAUUUGUAUGUUGGGUGAACUACUCCAUUAAUUGUUCUAAUAUCCUCAAAUGAUGUGCAUCCUUUCUUGAUGUUUAGAAGCAUUCUCAUAUAAUACCGGUCACCACUUGCAGGGUGUGCAUAGUAAAUUCUUCCAAUUGCAAAGCCCCUUUUGCGCUUCUCCCAAGUUUUGGAGUCACUUUUCCAUACAAAUUUUGAUGGGAAUUCUGCAUAGGUUAAUUCUUUUCCCACCUCAUGUAUUUUGUUUGCCUCCAUCCACUCAGUGAACUUAGUACUUGUGGAUCCUGGCAUUCUUACUAAUUUUUCAAUGUCAGUCGAGUCUGGAAAAAUAACUUGUUGCUCGUUUUCAAUGUGGAAUGGCAGUCUCUCUACUGGUGGAUCACGAUGGUGUAGAUCAAACUGGAAUAUCCACUAGCAUGCUUCGGUUGUUGAUAUGUAUCUCAUCUCUAGGUAUUUCUUGAUUUCAUCAUAGUCGCUUGUCGCGUCCCUUUCCUUUAGUAAGGCUGUUACUUGGUCGUCAUCUUUAUGGAUGUACUUAAAUAGGUACUUGAUUGACCUGGACCUGUUGCACCAUUCCGCAUUUAUGUGAGCUUGGAAUUUGACCAAAAGGUUUCUGUUGUAUGGCACAACAAACCUGUUAUCGAGCAUUGCUCCUCCCUUUUUGAUAUUCCUUCCAUUGUCUCGCCUUCUAUAUACUGGAAAGCCAUCCUCAUCGAUUGUCGUAUCGAUAUUGUACCGUUUUGGGAAGUGUUUAGUGCAUUUGUUGUCUAUCAUGCAUGGUGAUUUUGUAUUUGCCUCUCCGCAAGGCCCGUGCAUCAUGAAGUUUUCAACAGCUUCAUAUCCGUCCAGAUCAACAUCUUUGUCUGGGAUCUCCGCACUGAUUAUUUGGUUGAUUUCUGAUGGUCCUUUGCACUUGAGUCCCCUCUUCUGGAACUCUAUUGUGUAGAUAACUGCAUUGAUUGAAUAUAUAGUUUUAUUUUGUUAAAAUUUGGAAUCAUUUUAAUAAAUAGAUAAAGGCUAUUGUGUGUUUAAAAAUUGAAACUUUAGGUCCUAUUAGUUAGCGAUUAGUAGUCGACUGAUCUUACUUGCUAUAGUUUCUCCAAAGUGUUUCUUCACAACGAUAUCUCUCAUUAGCUCCUUCAGUUUUAUCAUGAAUACUCGGUCAACAAUAUUUGGUCGGUCGGCUGGCUUGAGGCCUCCUCCUGCUUCAUCUAGCAUGUAUUGGAUCUCAGGACACUUUGCAUUGCAUGUGAAUGUUAUAAAUAGGUCUGGAUAUCCAGCCCAACGGCAUAUUGCAAAUGCGUCUUGCAAGUUUUGUGCCUUGUUUCUUCUACCUCCUGUAUAAGAUGAAGGUACAAUUAUUCUCUUUCCGACCUGCUCUGUUCUGGUGUCCCCUCGCUCAAUCACGUCAUGUAGUCCACUGUAAAGUUCAGUUCGUAGCUUCCCUUGAUUAUUCCUGAUCCAGUUUAGUCUGUUUUGCUCAAUGCAUGUGUAAACAUCCACCCAAAAUUGAAGCGAGAGAUGUCUAGAUGUUAGCAACGACAUUCCUUGGUCGGGUCUUUGUUGUAGGUAGUAUGCAUAGUAGUCUAGCAUAGUUACAUAUUUCCUGCUUUUGUCACCUUCUUUUAUUCGCUUGUAAGGUAUUUCAAGCUUGAAUCCAUCUUCUCCGUAUGGAAACAAUAACGGGUAUUGCAUUGACAUUAAUUUUGGAUGGAUUUCCGAUAUUCUGUGAGGUUCCAUAUUUUUGUACUCAACAACGAUGUCUCGUCCUUCGCUCUCUCCAGUAGGGUCUCUUACAACUAAUGCUGCAACUUCUGAUGCUGAUGGAAGGUUGUGUGUUCCGUUCCUUUUCCCAAGUAUUCGAAGCGUGUAAUCGUGGUAGUCUUCUUCUUCGAAUCUAUCUCUUGCCAUUCUGAUUGACUUUGCAAGGAUGUUGUUCUCAUCAAGCAUUUCUUGUAGUUCCUUGACAAUGGCAGGGUCCACUGUUGUUUUUUUAUCAUUGCAUCUUGAAGCAUCUAUCCUGUUUUGUACCUCAUUUUCUAUCUGAUAGAUGUAUAGCUGGGCAAAUCGAGGUUUGUUACCUUCUUCGGGUAGAAGAGUUCCAAUAUGGUGGUAGUUCUGGCCAUGCAGUCUAAAAACAUAUGGUCCUUUGCCUUUGUUUAUUUCUUUGUCAACAGUUCCUCCCAUUGACGUGAAUGAGAACAUUGAGUUGUAUGACCUUAUAUUUUCUCUGAAGUUUGUUGCAUCACUUCCUUCACCUGUUAAUAGCCCUGCAAGGUAAGGUGGAGGAUAUGCUAUCUUUGGUAGGCCAAUUUUACCAUGUUUGCAGCAAAUUCCGAAAGAAGGUUUUUUGGUUCCUCUAUGAGAAUUUAAUCUUUCUUCACACCAUAGUAUUGCAUUGCAAUGUUCGCAUAUGUAUGUUGGCUUUCCAAAGUUCCAUAUCGUGCUAUAAUAACUUCUGGACGUAGUGCUGCUGGUUCUUUCUAUGAUGUUGCUUUCAAGCUCAUUGUCGCUUGCAUUUUUUCUUGCAUGCUUGACAUCUUUUCUUUCUUUGAUUUGUUCCUUUCUCUUCCGUGAAGCAUCUUCUUCUGUUUUAUAGGUUGUUUCCUGUGUAUUCCUGCAUCUCUUACUCCUUUUUUGUUGGAGUUGUUGUUUCCUCCUGAUAAUAGCUUCUCUAGCUUCUUUUGUAAGUUGGCCUGCUGAUUUUGAUGUGCACUGUCCCUUCAUUUCUGCAUUGGAUAUUCUUUUAGCAAUAUAGUAUAAUAUAAUUCUAAUUUCUGCAUAAUGUCGUCAAGAGGCUAACGAUAUAUGCAAUAAAUAGGAGAUGGUGGCUGCAUGUAGACAAUCUAUAAUACUUCGAUCAUGCUUUCAGGAUUACUGUGUUUUGUGGUUCGAGCUGCUGUGUAUGGCAUUAUUGGAGGGACAGUGUGCUUGUUUCUCAGUGAACGACAAUUGUUCCAUGGGAAUUACUAAGGCAAAGUACUCUCUAAGAUCAUUGUUAGCAAUAUACGUAAAGUUAUUAGGUUCUGCAAUAUUAACAAAGGUAAAUAUUUGAAAUGUAUAUGUUACAAAUGUACAAAAAAAAGUGUGCAUUACAUGAAGAUUGUAAAAUCUCAAUGAUAUACCUGAUAAUGUUUUCUUGUCUUUGUUUUUCUAAUUUUGUAAAGCUUCACACGCAUGUGCUAAUUAUUGUCGUAAUUGUAUCUUUGCUGCAAAGCCAAUCCUGUAGCGAUCUUGGAAAAUAUUUUAUACCAUGUACAAAUUAUUAGAGCA